AACGAACGCUGGCGGCAGGCUUAACGCAUGCAAGUCGAGCGCCCCGCAAGGGGAGCGGCAGACGGGUGAGUAACGCGUGGGAACGUACCUUUUGGUUCGGAACAACUCCGGGAAACUGGAGCUAAUACCGGAUAGGCCCUAACGGGGAAAGAUUUAUCGCCGAAAGAUCGGCCCGCGUCUGAUUAGCUAGUUGGUGAGGUAACGGCUCACCAAGGCGACGAUCAGUAGCUGGUCUGAGAGGAUGAUCAGCCACACUGGGACUGAGACACGGCCCAGACUCCUACGGGAGGCAGCAGUGGGGAAUAUUGGACAAUGGGCGCAAGCCUGAUCCAGCCAUGCCGCGUGAGUGAUGAAGGCCUUAGGGUUGUAAAGCUCUUUUGUCCGGGAAGAUAAUGACUGUACCGGAAGAAUAAGCCCCGGCUAACUUCGUG
rnacentral:rRNA from 1 species